AUUGAACGCUGGCGGCAUGCUUUACACAUGCAAGUCGAACGGCAGCGCGGGCUUCGGCCUGGCGGCGAGUGGCGAACGGGUGAGUAAUACAUCGGAACGUGCCCAGUAGUGGGGGAUAGCUCGGCGAAAGCCGGAUUAAUACCGCAUACGACCUGAGGGUGAAGGCGGGGGAUCUUCGGACCUCGCGCUAUGGGAGCGGCCGAUGGCCGAUUAGCUAGUUUGUGGGGUAAAGGCCUACCAAGCCGACGAUCGGUAGCUGGUCUGAGAGGACGACCAGCCACACUGGGACUGAGACACGGCCCAGACUCCUACGGGAGGCAGCAGUGGGGAAUUUUGGACAAUGGGCGAAAGCCUGAUCCAGCAAUGCCGCGUGUGUGAUGAAGGCCUUCGGGUUGUAAAGCACUUUUGGCGGGAACGAAAAGGACUGUGCCAAUACCACGGUUGGAUGACGGUACCCGCAGAAUAAGCACCGGCUAACUACGUG
rnacentral:rRNA from 1 species